CCUACGGGGGGCAGCAGUGGGGAAUAUUGCACAAUGGGGGAAACCUUGAUGCAGCGACGCCGCGUGAGCGAUGAAGUAUUUCGGUAUGUAAAGCUCUAUCAGCAGGGAAGAAAAUGACGGUACCUGACUAAGAAGCCCCGGCUAACUACGUGCCAGCAGCCGCGGUAAUACGUAGGGGGCAAGCGUUAUCCGGAUUUACUGGGUGUAAAGAGGGCGUAGACGGCGGCGCAAGCCAGAUGUGAAAGCCCGGGGCUCAACCCCGGGACUGCAUUUGGAACUGUGCCGCUAGAGUGUCGGAGAGGCAG
rnacentral:rRNA from 1 species